ensembl:lncRNA
GUAAUGACCAGGCAGCUCGUGAGUUUCAAGUUUGGGGAAGUUUAUAAGGAGUGUCACCUAAAGUCGACGAUUCGUAUCGAAAUGUGAGGCAAACGACGGGGAAUUUCAAACAACAUUGCCUAAAUGAUGGAACUGAUCAAAUGGCAGAGAAAACCAUGACCUGACCUGUAUCUGGGCUGGACUAUCUUGUCACUAAUCAAGCCUAUUACAUUGUAUCUGAAUCCAUAAAACAAUUAAGUAAUAUGCAAUCAUAAAAAUAUCUGAGUUACACAGUACCCAUCAUCAAGCCUAGAGAGAUGGUCCUUUCCGAGAAGAGCUCCAGGGCCUCGGGGCCUAAGAAAGCAUGCAGAAAAUGGGGCCUAUGGCCCCAGAGUUUCCCCUCCCCGGCCCUGUGCUGCGCCUGUGGCCUGGGGAUCAUGCUGGCGGGCAUCAACAUCACCUUGGUGGGGGCUUUCACUUUCAAGUCCUUCAUCCCCGCCAGCAACCCAUCCAUCGUCAUUGGGCCACUGCUCCUAAUAGUGGCUCUGUCCUUUUUUGGGGCAUGCUGCAUGUGUAGCCGACGGGCCCCGGCCCGCGAUACCCGUAA